rnacentral:lncRNA from 1 species
UUCCUUUAUAUAGUUGAAUCCCUAGCCUAAACCUAAAUUCUAGGGAUCCUACCCUAGCGCCGCCAGCCACUCUCUCACGGGAUCCCCACCAAAUCCACCUGCAUCCUCCCUCGAAUUCCCCAACCUGCCAACCACCUCUCCAUCGAUCCCCGGAUCUGCAGCAUCCAGCCCGCUGCGCUCGUGCGUGAGCACCCGAGGGGCCUCGCCCGCGCGUCCUCUGCUGCACUGUCACCGAAGACCGCACCAGCAGGCCCCGUGUGCUCCGUCCCUCUGCUCACCCACGCCGAACGCCUCGACCUCCUCCUCAGCCGGCGAGCAGAUCCGUCGGACCGCAAGAAGCACCCCGUUGCGCUCCCUCUCCUCUCUUCCUAACCAGGAGACCGACGCCGUGAUGAGACUACAGUCGUGUCGCUGAUGUCCGCGUCCAGACCACGAGCCCCAGGUCACGACGGAGCCUUUGUCUCGUCAUUUCCCUCAACCGCGGUCUCUCUUUCUCCCCCCUCGCUAAUCUCAUCCCUCUCCCCUUCUUUUCUCUGCAGAGGAGAUCUGAGGGAUGCCCGAGCCAUGGAGAUGAGCCGCCAUGGAAGGGUUGCCCCGCCGUUGGUGCCUCCAGCCCUGUAGGAGUGUCACUUUUGGCUAGAUCUGUUGCCUCCCACCGUUCCUCUCGUCGACUCAGCCCCGCCUUGGCCUGUCGAAGCCGCCAACUCCUGCUGCUGUGGCAUCCUGUACCACGCGAAGCCGGCGCACAUGUGUCCCGCUCACUCGAACGCGUGAGCUCAAGGGAAACACAAACCUUCCAGCGGGCCGGCUUCCCAGCUCCCCCGCUGGCCUGAUCUGGCUCGAGGUGAGACUUCACCUCCGCGUCAUGCCUUGGGAGGUUGAAGCCCCACAUUGCCGGAAUCCAAUCCUAGCUCAGCUGAUUAGCCAUGCUCUGUCUCACCCAGUAGACCAGGGUUCAAAUCCCUAGUUACACAUAUUGUGUUUCCCACCAUAUUAGUAUGUUUUCUGCACUUUUGUUACAGCUAAUCUUGCAUAUUUGGAUUAUAUGCCACUCAUUUAAAAUGCAUGCAUCUUUUAAACAGUGCGUUAAAUCGAAAUGUGGAACGUGUAAAAUUUCGUGUAGAUUAAUAUUUUUCAACACUCAUGCAGAUUUAAAGCUAUUAACCUUGCCGUUUGCCUCGUUUUGCGUGAUGUUAUGCUAAAACGGUUUAAUUCGAAGCUUGUUAACCGUAGCUCAGUUGGAGAUGAGCUAUGUAUGUAAACCGACAAGAAUUAUGUGUAGUUUCACGUGAACCACUUUAUUUCGACGUUUAACAAAUAUAAAAUAUGUUAGUUCAGAUCUGGACCAAUUUUGAUUUAUCACAUGGGGUCAUUUCGGAAAUACUAUAUGUUGUUUCCGACCUCAUUUAAAAUUCCUCGCUAGUGUAGUUUAUUUCUGAUUCACCUCUUGCCAUGAUAAUAACAUUUUAAAAUUUUCGUGUACCUAAACGAUUGUGAACUAAAUAUUUGAAUGUGGAGUUUCGUCAAUAUGCAACUUGUUGCAUACUGAGCUUCACUUAAUGUGUAGUGUUUGAUUGUUGUGAAUUGUCAUGCCGUAGCUUGCAUAAUUAAACUGGGCAUACAUCAUAUGUGUUGUGCAUCAUAUCGUUCAUGUGUCGUGGUGAAUAUCAUGUGUUGAUUCUUGUUUUCAGUUUGCUUCUUCUCGAUAGAGUUCCGCAAGCGUGUUGAAAUGUGAGGAUCCGUUCAACUACUUCGGUUCGCCUGCUUCAUAGAUUCGUUCUUCUUCCAAGCGGGAUCUCAAGCAAGAUGACCAUUUCCCUAGAUAACAUUACUAUAAUUGUGAUGCUGGUUGUUUCCUUUCUAUCGCUAUGUUUUGCAGCCUACCACCUAUUAAAUGUCAGCCUCCCAACGUUGCCAUGAAAACCUCUUAUCUUUCCACAACCCAGCAAACCACUGGUUUAUAUCGUUGCUACUUAAUUUAAUGCACCUAUAUCCUAUACACGUGCAGUUGCUUCCAUGUGAAAACAUGGGUUCCUUGUUAUAUCACCAUAUACUUGCUACUUAAUUUAACACACCUAUAUAAUUGGUAAAGGGUGGAAGGCUUGGGUCUCUAGUCUGAUGUUUUGUUCCAUCUUUGUCGUCUUAGUUUUGUCUACCGGUGUUAUGUUCCAUAAUUGAGCAGUCCUAACACGCUCGGGGUUGUUUUGGGGACCCCUUUGAUAAUUCGUUUUAGUUUAAUCUGGUCUGGCAAGGCCCAACUUUGAUACUACAUUUGCCUAAUAACCUAAUAAAAUUGCAUAGGGACUUUCCGGACCCAUAGAUAAUUGAUAAACCCUCGAGCCAGUGCUCUGCAUGAGUGUUGGUCCAACCUAUCAACUGUCAGUGGCUACCAGGGGCAAUUCUGUGAUUGGCCUACCGGAAGUUUAGACAAUCCGUCAGGUCCUGAGAAUGAGAUACACGGCUCCUAUUGGGUUUGUCCACACGUCAGGCGGCUUUGCUGGACUUGUUUUAUCUUUGAC